rnacentral:lncRNA from 1 species
AUGGCAUUGACGAAUAUGUUGUGGAUUGUUUUGAGUUCUGCAUACCUUUGUGUCCCACACAUAAGAAUUUAUCAUCUACCUAAAAGCUAUCACAUAAAAAUAAAAGCGCCAAGUGAGAGCUACAGACAAGAAUGGUCCUUCAUACAUGUUCAUGGCAACACCUACCUGGUAGCUCUAUUACAAUGGCCUAGAGAAGUUACCUUGCUUGCAUUUAUAAAACUAGUAAGUGACUGAUUAAAUAUUUGUUGGGAUGUGAAUGUGAGUUCAUGGAUUACACUAAUUUUUAUUUAAUGCAAUUGAAGAAUUAACCACUUUGAGAGUCAAAUGAAUAGUUCCACACUGCUCCACUACUCUAAUUUGCUAACUUAGCUAAUUUUUAAUGUGUAUGAGAAUGGUGAUAAACUAAUAUUACCUCUUCUAAGUAACAUAUUUUCAUUUAAAACUGGCACUAGGGUGGGGUGCUUGCCUGGCUCAGUCUGUUGGGCAUGAAACUCUUGAUCUUGGGGUUGUAGGUUUGAGCCCUCAUUGGAUGAAGAGAUUCCUUAAAAAUUCACAUCAUCUCAUGGGUAGGGGUUUAGAGAAGGGAGUGGUUGAGCCCACUUAUCUGUGUUUGGUUCUGAGAAUUGCCCAUAUUGAUUUACUUCAUCUACCGUACCCUAACCCCAGAAUGAAAAAUAUUAUGUAAUUGUUAUGUUGUGAUAGUUUAUCUUAGUAGUAGUGAGGAAUGUUUUUAACUUCUUUGGGAAAAAAAGGACUUAAAAGACUGACUCUAUUAUAUAUCCAUAUGUCAGAAUUUCAUUGAUAUUGUCCUUUUGAAAAAAGAUUUUUUUUUUGUUUGAGAGCAAGAGAGAGAAAGGAGGAGAGUGCACAUGUGCAUGGGGGCGAGAGGCAGAGGGAGAGGGAGAAGCAGGUCCCUCCUGAGCAGGGAGCCCAAUGUGGGGCUCAAUCCCAGGACCCUGAGAUCAUGACCUGAGCUGAAGGCAGACGUUCAACCAACUGAGCCACCCAGGUGUCC